AUCGAAGUCACCUGAAGGACGGCUUUCCUCAGCAACGGCAAGGCCCGCACUCCUCUCAUAUUGUGAAGUUUAACAAGUUUCGCGGCUCAAACAAGAGGCACCUGUCACUGAAGGACUGCUUUUCUCAGCUACGACGUGAACAGCAUCACUCGAAUUUCCUGGUUCAGCUGAUCUACCCAUCUUCGUACAAGCAGAGUUGGCAGAGGAGGUCAUAAAAAUC